AUUGAACGCUGGCGGCAGGCUUAACACAUGCAAGUCGAGCGUGCGGCGGACGGGUGAGUAAUGUCUGGGAAACUGCCUGAUGGAGGGGGAUAACUACUGGAAACGGUAGCUAAUACCGCAUACCAUCAGAUGUGUCCAGAUGGGAUUAGCUAGUCGGUGGGGUAAUGGAUCACCUAGGCGACGAUCCCUAGCUGGUCUGAGAGGAUGACCAGCCACACUGGAACUGAUAACCGUUCCAGACUCCUACGGGAGGCAGCAAUGGGGAAUAUUGCACAAUGGGCGCAAGCCUGAUGCUGCCUUGCCGCGUGUGUGAAUCAGGCCUUCGCGUUGUAAAGCACGUUCUGCGGGGAGGCGUUACUCGCAGAAGAAGCACCGGCUAACUCCGUGCCAGCAGCCGCGAUAAUUC
rnacentral:rRNA from 1 species